GGGGAUACAGCUCAGUUGGUAGAGCGCUUGCCUUGCAUGCAUAAGGCCCUAGAUUCAAUCCCUAGAAUCGCUU
rnacentral:tRNA from 1 species